GACGAACCGAGCGAACGUUGUUCGGAAUCACUGGGCUUAAAGGGCGCGUAGGCGGGUGCUCAAGUCCGUGGUGAAAUCCUCCGGCUCAACCGGAGAACUGCCUCGGAUACUGGGCGUCUCGAGUGUGGUAGGGGUAUGCGGAACUAUCGGUGGAGCGGUGAAAUGCGUUGAUAUCGAUAGGAACUCCGGUGGCGAAGGCGGCAUACUGGACCACUACUGACGCUGAUGCGCGAAAGCCAGGGGAGCAAACGGG
rnacentral:rRNA from 1 species